UUGCGGUCGUGGUGUGACGCGGCAUCCUUGGCUUUUACCCAGGUGGUGGGUUCAACUCCCCGGCCUCAAU
rnacentral:tRNA from 1 species